rnacentral:siRNA from 1 species
AUAGCCGGCUCCAAUGGAUCGUU